GCUGGGCGUGGUGGCGUACUCCUGUAAUCCCAGCUACUCAGGAGGCUGAGGUGGGAGAAUUGCUUGAACCCAGGAGGUGGAGGUUGCAGUGAGCCGAUAUCACGCCAUUGCACUCCAGCCUGGGCAACAGAGCAAGACUCCAUCUCAA
rnacentral:sRNA from 1 species